AUUGAACGCUGGCGGCAUGCCUUACACAUGCAAGUCGAACGGCAGCACGGGGCAACCUGGUGGCGAGUGGCGAACGGGUGAGUAAUGCAUCGGAACGUACCUUUCAGUGGGGGAUAACGUAGCGAAAGUUACGCUAAUACCGCAUAUUCUGUGAGCAGGAAAGCAGGGGAUCGCAAGACCUUGCGCUGAUUGAGCGGCCGAUGUCAGAUUAGCUAGUUGGUGAGGUAAAGGCUCAUCAAGGCGACGAUCUGUAGCGGGUCUGAGAGGAUGAUCCGCCACACUGGAACUGAGACACGGUUCAGACUCCUACGGGAGGCAGCAGUAGGGAAUUUUGGACAAUGGGGGCAACCCUGAUCCAGCCAUGCCGCGUGAGUGAAGAAGGCCUUCGGGUUGUAAAGCUCUUUCGGCCGGGAAGAAAUCGCACGGGCUAAUACCCUGUGUGGAUGACGGUACCGGAAUAAGAAGCACCGGCUAACUACGUGCCAGCAGCCGCUGUAAUAC
rnacentral:rRNA from 1 species